GCAAGCGUUAAUCGGAAUUACUGGGCGUAAAGCGCACGCAGGCGGUUUGUUAAGUCAGAUGUGAAAUCCCCGGGCUCAACCUGGGAACUGCAUCUGAUACUGGCAAGCUUGAGUCUCGUAGAGGGGGGUAGAAUUCCAGGUGUAGCGGUGAAAUGCGUAGAGAUCUGGAGGAAUACCGGUGGCGAAGGCGGCCCCCUGGACGAAGACUGACGCUCAGGUGCGAAAGCGUGGGGAGCAAACAGGAUUAGAU
rnacentral:rRNA from 1 species